UUGAAUAUACAUAGUGGAUUUUUCAUCAGUACAAAGUACAAACAAAUAUUUAAACACAAGUAGUGUUAAUCUUAGGUUUUAGACCACAUGACUCAUGCAUUAAUUGUCUUGAGAUGUGAAUGUAGAUAAAUACUGUUGAAAAGUAGUUAAGAAUAUUGAUGACUUUCUAUGGGGGAAAAUAAGCCCAAAGUGGGACAAAGGGAUAUUAAAGUAAUAAGUAAAGAAUUGUGGGCUAAAAUGGGUAUAUCUCAAUACACCCACAGAUAUAGUCUAAGGUUUAGAGUUUAGAAGUUAGAUUUAAGUCUGAGUUUUAAAUCUCCUAACUAAUUAUUUAAAGUGAUAAAAAAAAAAAAAAGACUAAUAUUAAUUGUGUGAGGAAAAGUUUGGAAGGUUAGAAAAAUUUUAAGUAACACCUCAUCUUGAGGUAUGGCAAAGCCACAGAUUGACACACUGAAACCUGGAAGUUGCCAGCUCGCAAAAGAGCUAUUGUGCUGUUGCUGUCAAGUAAAGCAGCUGCAUAUCUACACGUAUACAUCGGAGUCGAGUCGUUGCAAAAGAAUGGCAAAUUAUCUUGAGGAAGCGCAUUGAACAAUAAUCUGAAGGAAACCUGGCAGUUUAAGGGAAAUUGUAAUCCUUGCCAUUUACGGAUCUACGGAUAUAGAUCUAACGAUAUCCAAAAAAAAAAAAAAGAAUUGGAAGACUGUCCGAUGAACUACAUAGGCAAAGAUUGCUGAGGUUAUAAAAACAGCUCUUCCUUGGAUUCGACCCACCAUGCAAAAUAUGAGAAAUAGGCAACAAUCGUCAAUGGCAACAAAUUGGCGACUCACCGAUUUAUUGCUGUGGUGACAAAUCGGCAACAUCACUCCGUUCAUGUAAAUUUUGAAUAAAAAAGUUCUCAAAACUUCCGAAUCUUAUGAAUAUGGCGUCAAUAGUAUUGGCCAAAAGCAUCUAAAUUAUGCCCAAGGACAAGAUUGAAGAAAUAGGAAGCCUUACAGCGAGAAAAUUAAUUAUUUCCGAUUGUAAGUUGCGAUUUGGUAUACAAAAAAAAUAAAUGAAGUAUUAAAAAGAAUAAAAUUAUUCCAAAUAUCGCCUGAAGCGAUAAGAAAAGGACUCAUUCAGGUAAUAAGAAAACGACUCGCCCAGGCGUGUUGCCUUCGGCGGACGUUUUAGAGCGACCGGUAAUAGGAAUCGAUUCGAUUAGUAAAUACUUAUGGCCUUGUUCAUAAAAAAUAAAGUAGGUUUAAAAAGCUUUA